AUUGAACGCUGGCGGCAGGCCUAACACAUGCAAGUCGAGCGGAUGAAGGGAGCUUGCUCCUGGAUUCAGCGGCGGACGGGUGAGUAAUGCCUAGGAAUCUGCCUGGUAGUGGGGGAUAACGUCCGGAAACGGGCGCUAAUACCGCAUACGUCCUGAGGGAGAAAGUGGGGGAUCUUCGGACCUCACGCUAUCAGAUGAGCCUAGGUCGGAUUAGCUAGUUGGUGGGGUAAAGGCCUACCAAGGCGACGAUCCGUAACUGGUCUGAGAGGAUGAUCAGUCACACUGGAACUGAGACACGGUCCAGACUCCUACGGGAGGCAGCAGUGGGGAAUAUUGGACAAUGGGCGAAAGCCUGAUCCAGCCAUGCCGCGUGUGUGAAGAAGGUCUUCGGAUUGUAAAGCUCUUUAAGUUGGGAGGAAGGGCAGUAAGUUAAUCCCUUGCUGUUUUGACGUUACCAACAGAAUAAGCACCGGCUAACUUCGUG
rnacentral:rRNA from 1 species